GGGGGGGGGGGGGGGGGGGGGGGGCGGGCGGGGGGGGGGGGGGGGGGUCGGCUGGGUGGGGUGCUCGAGUGGGGGACGGGUGAGUGACACGGGGGUGGGCUGCCUUGCACUCUGGGAUAAGCUUGGGAAACUGGGUCUAAUACCGGAUAUGAACUGCCUUUAGUGUGGUGGUUGGAAAGUUUUUUCGGUGCAAGAUGAGCUCGCGGCCUAUCAGCUUGUUGGUGGGGUAAUGGCCUACCAAGGCGUCGACGGGUAGCCGGCCUGAGAGGGUGUACGGCCACAUUGGGACUGAGAUACGGCCCAGACUCCUACGGGAGGCAGCAGUGGGGAAUAUUGCACAAUGGGCGGAAGCCUGAUGCAGCGACGCCGCGUGGGGGAUGACGGCCUUCGGGUUGUAAACUCAUUUCGACAGGGACGAAGCUUUUUGUGACGGUACCUGUAUAAGAAGCACCGGCUAACUACGUG
rnacentral:rRNA from 1 species